rnacentral:rRNA from 1 species
UACGGAAGGCAGCAGUGGGGAAUAUUGCACAAUGGGCGCAAGCCUGAUGCAGCCAUGCCGCGUGUAUGAAGAAGGCCUUCGGGUUGUAAAGUACUUUCAGUCGUGAGGAAGGUGUUAAGGUUAAUAACCUUAGCAAUUGACGUUAGCGACAGAAGAAGCACCGGCUAACUCCGUGCCAGCAGCCGCGGUAAUACGGAGGGUGCGAGCGUUAAUCGGAAUUACUGGGCGUAAAGGGCACGCAGGCGGUUAAUUAAGUUGGAUGUGAAAUCCCCGGGCUUAACCUGGGAAUGGCAUUCAAGACUGGUUAGCUAGAGUCUUGUAGAGGGGGUAGAAUUCCAUGUGUAGCGGUGAAAUGCGUAGAGAUGUGGAGGAAUACCGGUGGCGAAAGGCGGCCCCUGGACAAAGACUGACGCUCAUGUGCGAAAGCGUGGGGA